GCCGCGAGGCAGAGCAAAACCCUAAAAAAUCGUCUCAGUUCAGAUUGCAGGCUGCAACUCGCCUGCAUGAAGUCGGAAUUGCUAGUAAUCGCAGAUCAGCAUGCUGCGGUGAAUACGUUCCCGGGCCUUGUACACACCGCCCGUCACACCAUGGGAGUCGGUAACACCCGAAGUCGGUAGCCUAACCGUAAGGAGGGCGCCGCCGAAGGUGGGAUUGAUGACUGGGGUGAAGUCGUAACAAGGUACC
rnacentral:rRNA from 1 species